AGAGAUGAGAAUGCAAAUCAGCCAGAGGAGUCAUUGAGGACAGUUAUGUACCUAAGCUGCUGGGGUCCAAAUUAAGGCCAAUAGCAAUUUAUGUAUGGGGCUAUAUUGUAUAGUUUGUAUGUUGGAAACAUUGCUUGACCAUUAAUUGUUUGUGUCAAGUAAUAUUCAUGUAAAUUUUGAUCAAUGAUAUGUUUCAACAUUUCUAAAUUUUGUGUUCUUUAAUUUUGUAUUUUUUUUAUUUAUCAAACUUGUCUGGUUUAAAAAGCAAAAAGGCUCAAAUUUUUCA
rnacentral:lncRNA from 1 species